rnacentral:lncRNA from 1 species
UUUAAAUGCUAGCCUGUUGCUCCAGACUUCUACCAUAUGUAGUUACAUUUUAGGAAACGUCUAGUGGCCUGAAGUUUAGGCACAGAGUCUGGUGUUUGUUCACAGGGAUCUUCUGUGGGGAUGAUACUUUACUCUGGUUUGUUCCAUGGCUGGGUGACAUUAUACAGGUUUGUUCCAUGGCUGGGUGACACUACACGGCAAAGGAAUACUUGAGCUGGGCUUCAAGGAAACAUUUAGCUAUGUGGUCAUUGUAGAAAGCACAGAUGACAAACGGGGGCUGAGUGUAAGUAUCCACAAGUGAUCACGGGUCAAGGCCUGAGGGCAACGCAGGGGCAGGCUGGGUUGCCAUGCAUUGUCCAUGGGGCAGCAUGAGAGGCUGUCCUAGGAGGCUGUUGCCAGGAAGUAUGUGCUUGGUCCAGACUUCCCAGGUUCUCGUCAAAGACCAGACAGCAACCUGGACACAGAGGAACUCCUCAGUUCUUCUGAAAUCCUGAAGCUCUAAAACAAUGAAACAGAAAUGGAUGCAGCAGCUGUCAUAGGUAUUAGUCAAUACCUAAGUGUUAAGAACA